GAUGAACGCUGACAGAAUGCUUAACACAUGCAAGUCUUUGGCGAAGCUGUGCUCGCACAGCCUAGCCAAGGCGGACGGGUGAGUAACGCGUAAGGAACUUGCCCUGCAGUCAGGGAUAACAGACGGAAACGACUGAUAAGACCUGGUAAAGUCAGGCGGACUCAUGUCCAGCCUGAUGAAAAGAGAUGCUGCAGGAGAGCCUUGCGUCCUAUUAGCUUGUUGGUGGGGUAACGGCCCACCAAGGCGAUGAUAGGUAGCCGGCCUGAGAGGGUGGACGGCCACAAGGGGACUGAGAUACGGCCCUUACUCCUACGGGAGGCAGCAGUGGGGAAUAUUGGACAAUGGGGGCAACCCUGAUCCAGCAAUUCUGUGUGCACGAUGAAGGUUUUCGGAUUGUAAAGUGCUUUCAGCAGGGAAGAAAAAAAUGACGGAACCUGCAGAAGAAGCGACGGCUAAAUACGUG
rnacentral:rRNA from 1 species